CCUGAAAAAGUGUAAUUGCUUAAUUGUUUAUGGUAAACAUCAAAAACAUAAUUGGUUUUCUGAAUUGUAAACCAUUCUCCUCUCUCAUGUAUGUAAUAGCAUACCCUUAGUUGCUGCAUAUACAGAUAACAUAGGCAAAGCAACUACGCCAGCAAUAGAGGAUAUAAAAACGAUACUUCCAUUUCCUGAUGCUUUCAAGAGUGGAUGUGCUAGUUGACAAAGAUGAUAAGGAGAUUCCAGGUUUGUACUCAUUAUGCUUGAAUAGUCUUCCAUACUAUAAUCUACACAAUCUUUUAGUGUAACUAUUCCAGCAUUAUUCACAAGGAUAUUGAGCUUCCCACCAAAAAUAGUGGAGAUUGUUUCAAUUAGCUUCUCUCUUUGAGCUCUAGAAGUGAGGUCACAAACUGAGAAGCUAACGUCGAACCCUUUACUCUUCCAUUCUUCUACCCUCUCGUUGAGCUCUUUCUCAUUGCGGGAACAAAUAUGCACUCUUGCUCCAAAUCCAACUAGUUCUUCCACUAUGGCAUAUCUAAUGAGAUAUAAAUAUAAUCAACUCAAAAUAACCAAAUUAAAGUGGAAGAAAAAACAACAUAUAGAGGAAAAGAAAAUAAGUAACCCAAUGCCCCUGCUUCCUCCAGUGACAAGUGCAGUCUUCCCCUUGAGAGACCACCUUUGAUCUCUGCAACCAAGAUCUUUUUCUGCCAUGGUUGUUGCCAUCUUGCAGCAAGUGGAAGCCUACAGCUAGUAGUAUUAAUAGUCCUUGUGAAUUCCAUGAAUAAAUAUAGUGGAGAAUGACUAAACAAAUAAAACAUGUACUAAGAAACAAGUAUAUCAAAAUUCAAGGGGAGCAUCUACAGCAGAAUCUUGGCCGAGACAUGGCAGACCGCCUGCUUCUAG
rnacentral:misc_RNA from 1 species